GAGUUAGAUACCCUAUUAUACUUGAUAUAAAUAAAUAUACCUGAUUAUUAAUAGAUAUGUUCUUUAAAAUCAAAGAAUUUGGCGGUGUUUUAGUCUAAUUAGAGGAACCUGUUUUAUAAUCGAUAAACCACGAAAUAUCUUACUUGUUUAAAGUAGUUUGUAUACCGUCAUUGUUAGAUAACGUUUAUAGAUAAAGUUGUUGAAAUUAGUUUAAACUAAGUAUAUUAGAUCAAGGUGCAGCCAAUAGACAAGAAAAAAUGGGUUACAAUAAUAUGUGUUUAUAACGGAUUUUUUCAAGAAUAAAGAAAUGAAGGAGGAUUUAUUUGUAAGUUUAUUUUAAUAAGUUAAAUUGAAUUGAGCUCUAAAAUGAGUACAUAUCGGCCGUCGCUA
rnacentral:rRNA from 1 species